UACAGAGGUCUCAAGCGUUGUUCGGAUUCAUUGGGCGUAAAGGGUUCGUAGGCGGUGCGGCAAGUCGGGGAGUGAAAUCUCUGGGCUUAACCCAGAGGCUGCUUCCGAAACUGCUGUGCUUGAGUGUGGGAGAGGCGCGUGGAAUUGCAGGUGUAGCGGUGAAAUGCGUAGAUAUCUGCAGGAACACCCGUGGCGAAAGCGGCGCGCUGGACCACUACUGACGCUGAGGAACGAAAGCUAGGGGAGCAAACAGG
rnacentral:rRNA from 1 species